rnacentral:rRNA from 1 species
UACGUAGGGUGCGAGCGUUUAAUCGGAAUUACUGGGCGUAAAGUGUGCGCAGGCGGCCGCGCAAGUCGAGUGUGAAAGCCCCCGGGCUUAACUUGGGAAUUGCGCUCGAAACUACGUGGCUGGAGUGUGGCAGAGGAAGGUGGAAUUCCACGUGUAGCGGUGAAAUGCGUAGAGAUGUGGAGGAACACCAAUGGCGAAGGCAGCCUUCUGGGCCAACACUGACGCUCAUGCACGAAAGCGUGGGGAGCAAACAGG